rnacentral:lncRNA from 10 species
UGACCAGUCUUUGCAUUUAUUAUUUUUUUCAUUAAUUUGUUUACUCAUUCAUUUCUUCAUUCAAAAAAACUUUACCACAUUCUUAUGUGCCAGGCAUGGAAACUCUCAUGUAUUUGACUUGUGACAUGCUAUUCUUUCUUCCUUUGUCCAUUUCUUAUUCCAUUGGAUAAUUUACUUCCCUGACUCUUUCAUGUGUCCUAGUAGUUUAGCUGUGAAGUCCAUCUUGCAUAUCUAUGCAGAUUAAACUUGUAUAAUCAUGUUUUCCCCUGUCAAUCUAUUCCUAUGCUUCCUGAGCUCCCUGUGCCCACCCUCCUUUCCUUUUGUUGGAGCAACUUGAUCUUUACUGACACAUUCAAGCCCAGUUCAUUCUCUGAAACUUGUCCUGCCCUUAGUCUAGGGUAUUUAAGGAAUCCUUUAUGAGUAACUUGCAGGACAUGACAUCAAAAGUCAACAUUACUGCUAAUUCUGCUUGUGGGUCCUUCGUUUUCUGUUUGAAAUAAUGAUGCAUUUUCUUUUGUCAUUGGUUAGUUCUCCAUUUGAAAUUCUGUUUUC